GACAGAGGGUGCAAACGUUGUUCGGAAUUACUGGGCGUAAAGCGCGUGUAGGCUGCUUCGCAAGUCGGGUGUGAAAGCCCCGGGCUCAACCUGGGAAUGGCAAUGGAUACUGGCAAGCUGGAGUGUGGCAGAGGGGGGUGGAAUUCCACGUGUAGCAGUGAAAUGCGUAGAGAUGUGGAGGAACACCGAUGGCGAACGGCAGCCCCCUGGGCCAAUACUGACGCUCAUGCACGAAAGCGUGGGGAGAAACAGG
rnacentral:rRNA from 1 species